UACGUAGGGUGCGAGCGUUUAAUCGGAAUUACUGGGCGUAAAGCGUGCGCAGGCGGUUUUUGUAAGCCAGAUGUGAAAUCCCUCGGCUCAACCGAGGAACUGCGCUUGAAACUACCAGACUCGAGGGAGAUAGAGGAAAGCGGAACUGAUGGUGGAGCGGUGAAAUGCGUUGAUAUCAUCAGGAACACCGGUGGCGAAGGCGGCUUUCUGGGUCU
rnacentral:rRNA from 1 species